rnacentral:lncRNA from 1 species
AUGCUUUGCAGAGUUCAGCCUGCCCGCCUGGUGAUCAACUGCUCCAACUUCUCAGCAGGCAGCACGGCCGGGACGAGCACGCGGCAGGAGCAGCGAGGGAGGUGGUGCAUGGUGUGCCGUACGAGGAGCCUGAAAGCAAGAGCUGCUCAGCAGGGCAGUGAAGUUGUUUUGCAAGACAGGUGGCUGCGGGGUCUCUUUGGUCAGCGGGAUUGGAAGAGAGCCAUCGUCUGCUUCCUCGAUGGUCUGCCAGCCCAUGUGUUUGAAAAUGAUAAUGCAGCUCUUCUUCCUGUGAGGGGUAGCAAGUAUCCCUCUCCUUUGCUUCCUUGCCUAGUAGAGGCUGCUGACCGAUGCUGCACGAUGCAAGAUGCACUUCUCCCUCUCCAUCCUGGCAGCAUAAAGGAGGAUUAAGCCUGUGACCUUGGGAAUUGAUGUGACCCACUCACAAAAGAGAAGGCUUUCACUCCAGAGCCCGGGUGGUUGUGUAGUGCCAUGCGUACAACCAAAUAUAGCCUUCCUGCCAUUCAGACAGAAAGCAGCAUGUUUUGGAGCAACUUCCCUGGGAGGGGGAGGAACAGAUGUUGGAACCAGAAGCGUAUGUGACAGUUGGGAGAGACAGCGUGGAAACGCACAGUUGAAAGGAGAAGUCUGAUGGGAGUGUGAUGACAGCAGCAGGACUCCAGUGACAAGGAGUGGGAAGGAGAACAAGCAGAGAGGAGUGUUACUUCGAAAGCCGAGCAAAGUGCACAAGAAGAUGUGUCAGGAAAGCGUCAGGGAAAGGAAGGGAGGAAAUGUGAGAGUAGAGACAGGCUUUGGGAUCUGUCUGCAAGCAUGUGUGACCUGUUGCCUGACAAACAGAGAAAGGAAAAGCUUUUAUUCCUCUGCCGCCUUCGGCUGGGCUAACUCUGCUUGCAGCCAAGCUGGCCGGCUAGCCCUGGUGGAGUCUUCAGGCGUCCUGGUAGCACCUGGGAAAGGUAAAGCUGCCUGUGCUUCCACCAGAGCUCUGAACUCCUGGGGUAAUGCAUGUUUGGGACUACAGCAGGGAUGCUGGAUCGCCCAGGCCUUGCUUCAGCCUGGUGUCUUUGCAGGGUAGCACAGUAGCCACGUGCCUUGGGAUGCUGAAAAUGGGGGGAGCGGUGCCAUCUUCGUAACAGGCUUCCCCUCUGAAAUUGCAUUCGUCGUAAGGGCAGGAUGCAUGAGGAGAGGCAGAGAACAAGUGAGCGUGUGUUCUUCCUGCGGCAGGGAGGGACUCUCCAGCAGCGCCGUACCCUGGUGAUAUAAAUCACCUCUCUGCAGUGUCCGGUUUUACCUUAGUUCAGCAGAUGUGCAAGGCACACUGGGAGUGUGCCGCUGGAGUGUAAAGCCCCUGAUCUUACAGAGACUGCAAGAGCAGGGGGAGGGGGUGCUGCAA